CUACUCUCAGUUCGGAUUGUAGGCUGAAACUCGCCUACAUGAAGCUGGAGUUACUAGUAAUCGCAGAUCAGAAUGCUGCGGUGAAUGCGUGCCCGGGUCUUGUACACACCGCCCGUCACACCACGGGCGUUGGAGACGCCCGAAGCCGAUUAUCUAACCUUUUGGAAGAAGUCGUCGAAGGUGGAAUCAAUAACUGGGGUGAAGUCGUAACAAGGUAG
rnacentral:rRNA from 1 species